CCCCUCUCAGGCUCGUACCUGGAGAGUUUCCAGGACUCUAUCAGUCUCGGCUAUGGGAGGAAGAAUCAAGCAGAGGCCUAUCCAUUCCAUUCCUAGCUUGGGCAGUGGCUAGUCAGUGGAAGGCAAUCUGCUACAAGU